rnacentral:rRNA from 1 species
CAAGCGUUGUUCGGAUUUACUGGGCGUAAAGGGCGCGUAGGCGGCUUGACAAGUCACUUGUGAAAUCUCCGGGCUUAACUCGGAACGGCCAAGUGAAACUGUCAUGCUAGAGUGCAGAAGGGGCAAUCGGAAUUCUUGGUGUAGCGGUGAAAUGCGUAGAUAUCAAGAGGAACACCUGAGGUGAAGACGGGUUGCUGGGCUGACACUGACGCUGAGGCGCGAAAGCCAGGGGAGCAAACGGG